CGGGGUGAGUAAUGUCUGGGAAACUGCCUGAUGGAGGGGGAUAACUACUGGAAACGGUAGCUAAUACCGCAUAACGUCGCAAGACCAGAGAGGGGGACCUUCGGGCCUCUUGCCAUCGGAUGUGCCCAGAUGGGAUUAGCUAGUAGGUGGGGUAACGGCUCACCUAGGCGACGAUCCCUAGCUGGUCUGAGAGGAUGACCAGCCACACUGGAACUGAGACACGGUCCAG
rnacentral:rRNA from 1 species